rnacentral:rRNA from 1 species
AGAGUUUGAUCAUGGCUCAGAGCGAACGUUAGCGGCGGGCCUAACACAUGCAAGUCGAACGAGAAUGUAGGCUUCGGUCUACUAGUAAAGUGGCGGACGGGUGCGUAACACGUGGGUAAUCUACCUUCCGGCGGGGGACAACAGUCCGAAAGGAUUGCUAAUACCGCAUACGUCAGCGGCGCCUACGGGCGCUGUUGGGAAAGACGGCCUCUCCUUGGAAGCUGUCACCGGAAGAUGAGCCCGCGUCCCAUCAGCUAGUUGGUGAGGUAACGGCUCACCAAGGCUUAGACGGGUAGCUGGUCUGAGAGGAUGAUCAGCCACACUGGGACUGCGACACGGCCCAGACUCCUACGGGAGGCAGCAGUGGGGAAUAUUGGGCAAUGGGCGAAAGCCUGACCCAGCCACGCCGCGUGAGUGAUGAAGGCCUUCGGGUCGUAAAGCUCUGUGGGGAGGGACGAACAAACUUGGGGCUAAUCACCCAGGUCCUGACGGUACCUCCUUAGCAAGCACCGGCUAACCCUGUGCCAGCAGCCGCGGUAAUACAGGGGGUGCAAACGUUGCUCGGAAUCAUUGGGCGUAAAGCGCACGUAGGCGGUUCGUUAUGUCGGAUGUGAAAGCCCUUGGCUUAACCGAGGAAGUGCAUCCGAAACUGGCGAGCUAGAGUACGAAAGAGGAUCGCGGAAUUCCCGGUGUAGAGGUGAAAUUCGUAGAUAUCGGGAGGAACACCGGUGGCGAAGGCGGCGAUCUGGGUCGAUACUGACGCUGAGGUGCGAAAGCGUGGGGAGCAAACAGGAUUAGAUACCCUAGUAGUCC